AUAGCAGUCUAAGAUGCCAAAUUACAGAGACGGAAAACACUCACAUCUCCCGCCCUGGUUUCUUUAGACAGUUAUGGCCUUCGCAUUUCCCGCCGUCUCUUUGACCCUGUCUUCUUGGCGGAAUGCUCCCAGCAACAUCCAGGGUGAACUCCUGGCCACCCUCUCCUGCAAUGCUUCUGUGGACCCCAUCUGACAGAUUAACCGAACAACCUCUGUAGUCUACUGUAAACACGAAAACAAAGCCUUAGAGGAGGAAGACCCAUAGAUGGUAUCCACUGUCUUCCUCUUUGCUAGGAAGCUCAUCAAUAUGAUAUAGGAGACUGGAAACUACUUACUUUGGGUAAGUAAUUGAAUUUCCCACUUCCCUUUGCCUAGGUAUGCCUGAGGACAUGCAUUCUAUGUACUGUACUAUAAUUUACAGUCCAAUAGAACAAAACAAAACACAGUUCUCAGUUUGUGGAUGGACUGAAGACUCUGAAAUCUAGAUUUCAGAGAAAUG